rnacentral:rRNA from 1 species
CAAUAGCGUAUAUUAAAGUUGUUGCAGUUAAAAAGCUCGUAGUUGGAUUUCUGGUGGGAGCGAUCGGUCUGGCGCUUAGCGCGAGUACUUGCAUCGUCUCCGGCCAUCCUUGGGGAGAGUCUGUCUGGCAUUAAGUUGUCGGGCAGAGGAUCCUCAUCGUUUACUGUGAAAAAAUUAGAGUGUUCAAAGCAGGCUUAUGCCGUUGAAUAUAUUAGCAUGGAAUAAUAAGAUAGGACUUUGGUACUAUUUUGUUGGUUUGCGCACCAAAGUAAUGAUUAAGAGGGACAGUUGGGGGUAUUCGUAUUCCGUUGUCAGAGGUGAAAUUCUUGGAUUUACGGAAGACGAACUACUGCGAAAGCAUUUACCAAGGAUGUUUUCAUUAA